rnacentral:rRNA from 1 species
CCUACGGGCGGCAGCAGUGGGGAAUAUUGGACAAUGGGCGCAAGCCUGAUCCAGCAAUGCCGCGUGUGUGAAGAAGGCCUUCGGGUUGUAAAGCACUUUCAGUGGGGAGGAAGGCCCCGAUAUUAAUACUAUUGAGGAUUGACGUUACCCACAGAAGAAGCACCGGCUAACUCUGUGCCAGCAGCCGCGGUAAUACAGAGGGUGCUAGCGUUAAUCGGAAUUACUGGGGGUGAAGGGUGAGUAGGUGGGUGAAAGCCCCGGGCUCAACCUGGGAAUUGCAUUUGAUACUGAGUAACUUGAGUAUGGUAGAGGGAAGUGGAAUUUCCAGUGUAGCGGUGAAAUGCGUAGAUAUUGGAAGGAACAUCAGUGGCGAAGGCGACUUCCUGGACCAUUACUGACACUGAGGCACGAAAGCGUGGGGAGCAAACAGGAUUAGAUACCCCAGUAGUC